CCUAACACAUGCAAGUCGAACGGUAACAGGAAACGGCUUGCUGUUUCGCUGACGAGUGGCGGACGGGUGAGUAAUGUCUGGGAAACUGCCUGAUGGAGGGGGAUAACUACUGGAAACGGUAGCUAAUACCGCAUAACGUCGCAAGACCAAAGAGGGGGACCUUCGGGCCUCUUGCCAUCAGAUGUGCCCAGAUGGGAUUAGCUAGUAGGUGGGGUAACGGCUCACCUAGGCGACGAUCCCUAGCUGGUCUGAGAGGAUGACCAGCCACACUGGAACUGAGACACGGUCCAGACUCCUACGGGAGGCAGCAGUGGGGAAUAUUGCACAAUGGGCGCAAGCCUGAUGCAGCCAUGCCGCGUGUAUGAAGAAGACCUUCGGGUUGUAAAGAC
rnacentral:rRNA from 1 species